UGGGGAAUAUUGGACAAUGGGCGAAAGCCUGAUCCAGCCAUGCCGCGUGUGUGAAGAAGGUCUUCGGAUUGUAAAGCACUUUAAGUUGGGAGGAAGGGCAGUAAGCGAAUACCUUGCUGUUUUGACGUUACCGACAGAAUAAGCACCGGCUAACUCUGCGCCAGCAGCCGCGGUAAUACAGAGGGUGCAAGCGUUAAUCGGAAUUACUGGGCGUAAAGCGCGCGUAGGUGGUUCGUUAAGUUGAAUGUGAAAGCCCCGGGCUCAACCUGGGAACUGCAUCCAAAACUGGCGAGCUAGAGUAGGGCAGAGGGUGGUGGAAUUUCCUGUGUGGCGGUGGAAGGCGUAGAUAUAGGAAGGAACACCAGUGGCGAGGGCGACCACCUGGGCUCAUACUGACACUGAGGUGCGAAAGCGUGGGGAGCAAACAGG
rnacentral:rRNA from 1 species